AGAGUUUGAUCCUGGCUCAGGAUGAACGCUGGCGGCGUGCUUAACACAUGCAAGUCGAACGGGAAUUACUUUAUUGAAACUUCGGUCGAUUUAAUUUAAUUCUAGUGGCGGACGGGUGAGUAACGCGUGGGUAACCUGCCUUAUACAGGGGGAUAACAGUCAGAAAUGGCUGCUAAUACCGCAUAAGCGCACAGAGCUGCAUGGCUCAGUGUGAAAAACUCCGGUGGUAUAAGAUGGACCCGCGUUGGAUUAGCUAGUUGGUGGGGUAACGGCCCACCAAGGCGACGAUCCAUAGCCGGACUGAGAGGUUGAACGGCCACAUUGGGACUGAGACACGGCCCAGACUCCUACGGGAGGCAGCAGUGGGGAAUAUUGCACAAUGGGGGAAACCCUGAUGCAGCGACGCCGCGUGGAGGAAGAAGGUCUUCGGAUUGUAAACUCCUGUUGUUGAGGAAGAUAAUGACGGUACUCAACAAGGAAGUGACGGCUAACUACGUGCCAGCAGCCGCGGUAAAACGUAGGUCACAAGCGUUGUCCGGAAUUACUGGGUGUAAAGGGAGCGCAGGCGGGAAGACAAGUUGGAAGUGAAAUCCAUGGGCUCAACCCAUGAACUGCUUUCAAAACUGUUUUUCUUGAGUAGUGCAGAGGUAGGCGGAAUUCCCAGUGUAGCGGUGGAAUGCGUAGAUAUCGGGAGGAACACCAGUGGCGAAGGCGGCCUACUGGGCACCAACUGACGCUGGGGCUCGAAAGUGUGGGUAGCAAACAGGAUUAGAUACCCUGGUAGUCCACACUGUAAAC
rnacentral:rRNA from 1 species